rnacentral:rRNA from 1 species
CACGUAGGGCGCAAGCGUUGGCCGGAAUUAUUGGGCGUAAAGAGCUCGUAGGCGGUCUGUUACGUCUGCUGUGAAAACCCAGGGCUUAACCCUGGGCUUGCAGUGGAUACGGGCAGACUAGAGGCAGGUAGGGGAGAAUGGAAUUCCCGGUGUAGCGGUGAAAUGCGCAGAUAUCGGGAGGAACACCGGUGGCGAAGGCGGUUCUCUGGGCCUGACCUGACGCUGAGGAGCGAAAGCGUGGGGAGCGAACAGG